rnacentral:snoRNA from 1 species
AUAUAUUUCUCCCAGUGCAGCAAAGUUAGUUUCAUUGGUUUGCACUAGGAUAUGAAAGGAAAAAUCCAGCAUGCUUUGUCUCUGUGGCAGCUAGAUUGAAUAGGUAAGAACAUCU